GGCAUUGGCAGGGUGCUGGCAAAGCGCGGGCGGUCUCGCACGGACUGGCAGCCCUGGCGGUGCUGCUCUGGCAAGAUGCAGCUGGCAGGUCACGGGCAGCUCCACAUUGGCAGGUAGGCGCUGGUAGGUCCCGAGCAGCUCCACAUUGGCAGGUUGGCGCUGGCAGGUCGCGAGCGGCUCCACAUUGGCAGUUAGGCGCUGGCAGGUCACGGGCAGCUCCAGAUUGGCAGUUAGACGCUGGCAGGUCACGGGAGGCUCCACAUUGGCAGUUAGACGAUGGCAGGUCACGAGCAUUUCCACAUUGGCAGUUAGACGCUGGCAUGUCACGAGCAUUUCCACAUUGACUGUCCCUGUUGAUAGGAGCCAGGCCGGUGUCCAUGUUGUGC